rnacentral:rRNA from 1 species
GACGAACGCUGGCGGCGUGCUUAACACAUGCAAGUCGAACGGAAAGGCCCUGCUUUUGUGGGGUGCUCGAGUGGCGAACGGGUGAGUAACACGUGAGUAACCUGCCCUUGACUUUGGUAUAACUUCAGGAAACUGGGGCUAAUACCGGAUCGGAGCUCCUGCUGCAUGGUGGGGGUUGGAAAGUUUCGGCGGGUGUGGAUGGACUCGCGGCUUAUCAGCUUGUUGGUUGGGUAGUGGCUUACCAAGGCUUUGACGGGUAGCCGGCCUGAGAGGGUGACCGGCCACAUUGGGACUGAGAUACGGACCAGAGUGCAACGGGAGGCAGUAGGCGGGAAUAUUGCACAAUGGGAGGAAGUCUGAUGAGGCAACGCCGCGUGCGGGAUGACGGCCUUCGGGGUGUAAACCGCUUUCGCCUGUGACGAAGCGGGAGUGACGGUAAUGGGUAAAGAAGCACCGGCUAACUACGUG